CCCAGACUAACAGCUAAGGUCCCUAAAUCUCAUUUAAGUGGAAAACGAUGUGAAGUUACUGAAACAACCAGGAGGUUGGCUUAGAAGCAGCCAUCCUUUAAAGAUAGCGUAAUAGCUCACUGGUCUAGUGAUUUUGCGCGGAAAAUAUAACGGGGCUAAAAUGAGUACCGAAGCUUUAGACUUGCACUUAAUCAUUUAUACUAGCUCGUCUUUUGGCGAUAAAUUAAUGAGUUCGAUUUUUUCUCAAUCGAUAGGCUAAAAGCCUUAUCUCAAUCGAAAAAAUCUUCACAACAUUAAUUUCUCAUCCAAAAUACUUCGCUUUCUAUAUUCAAAUUUUAAAGAUUUCAAACUUUGUUGAUUUUAAAAUUUUUUAGAAUUUUAAAAUCCUAACUUAGAUAUUUAAAAUUUAACAACCAAGAAGCGAAGAAAGACAAACAAAACUUUAAGACAUCGGAUAAAUUCUUAAAUAUCUUAAGUUUUAAAUUUGAACAAAGCCGCAAGAAAAGUAUAAAUCAUUAAGUGCAAGUGGUAGGAGAGCGUUCCAAUCAGCGUCGAAGCCGUACCGGUAAGGAGCGGUGGAGCGGUUGGAAGUGAGCAUGCAGGCAUGAGUAGCGAUAAAAUACGUGAGAAUCGUAUUCGCCGUAAACCCAAGGUUUCCUACGCGAUGCUCGUCAUCGUAGGGUUAGUCGGGUCCUAAGCAAAGUCCGAAAGGGGUAUGCGAUGGAAAAUCGGUUAAUAUUCCGAUACCGAUAUCAGUGUGCGACGGAAGGACGCUUAAAGUUAGUGGAGCUAGCGGAUGGAAGUGCUAGUCUAAGGAAGUAGGUUGAGUUAUAGGCAAAUCCGUAACUCUUUAUCCGAGAUCUGAAAGGCUUCUGACGCUCUUCGGAGUAGAUGAAGAAUCCAUGAUACUAUCGAGCCGAGAAAAGUUUCUAAGUUUAGCUGAUAUCGCCCGUACCGUAAACCGACACAGGUGGGUGGGAUGAGUAUUCUAAGGCGCGUGGAAGAACUCUCUUCAAGGAACUCUGCAAAAUAGCACCGUAUCUUCGGUAUAAGGUGUGCCUAACUUUGUGAAGGAUUUACUCCGUAAGCAUUGAAGGUUACAACAAAGAGUCCCUCCCGACUGUUUACCAAAAACACAGCACUCUGCUAACUCGUAAGAGGAUGUAUAGGGUGUGACGCCUGCCCGGUGCUCGAAGGUUAAUUGAUGACGUUAGCUCUGCGAAGCGUUUGAUCGAAGCCCGAGUAAACGGCGGCCGUAACUAUAACGGUCCUAAGGUAGCGAAAUUCCUUGUCGAUUAAAUAUCGACCUGCAUGAAUGGCGUAACGAGAUGGGAGCUGUCUCGAAGAGGGAUCCAGUGAAAUUGUAGUGGAGGUGAAAAUUCCUCCUACCCGCGGCAAGACGGAAAGACCCCGUGGACCUUUACUACAGCUUGACACUGCUAUUGGGAUAAAAAUGUGCAGGAUAGGUGGGAGGCUUUGAUCCAUAGACGCCAGUUUAUGGUGAGCCGUUGUUGAGAUACCACUCUUUUUUAUUCUGAUAGCUAACUAGCUUGAGUUAUCCUCAAGUAGGACAAUGUCUGGUGGGUAGUUUGACUGGGGCGGUCGCCUCCCAAAAUGUAACGGAGGCUUACAAAGGUUGGCUCAAAGCGGUUGGAAAUCGCUUGCAGAGUAUAAAGGCAAAAGCCAGCUUAACUGCGAGACAUACACGUCGAGCAGAGACGAAAGUCGGUCUUAGUGAUCCGGUGGUUCUGUGUGGAAGGGCCAUCGCUCAAAGGAUAAAAGGUACCCCGGGGAUAACAGGCUGAUCUCCCCCAAGAGCUCACAUCGACGGGGAGGUUUGGCACCUCGAUGUCGGCUCAUCGCAUCCUGGGGCU
rnacentral:rRNA from 1 species